rnacentral:rRNA from 1 species
GGCUGCAACUCGCCUACACGAAGUUGGAAUUGCUAGUAAUCGUGGAUCAGCAUGCCACGGUGAAUACGUUCCCGGGUCUUGUACACACCGCCCGUCACACCAUGGGAGCUGGUAACACCCGAAGUCAGUAGUCUAACCGCAAGGAGGACGCUGCCGAAGGUGGGAUUAGCGACUGGGUGAAGUCGUAACAAGGUAAC